CUACUAUACUGUCCCCUAUAUAGGUAAGAUACUACUAUACUGUCCCCUAUAUAGGUAAGAUACUACUAUACUGUCCCCUAUAUAGGUAAGAUACUACUAUACUGUCCCCUAUAUAGGUAAGAUACUACUAUACUGUCCCCUAUAUAGGUAAGAUACUACUAUACUGUCCCCUAUAUAGGUAAGAUACUACUAUACUGUCCCCUAUAUAGGUAAGAUACUACUAUACUGUCCCCUAUAUAGGUAAGAUACUACUACACUGUCCCCUAUAUA